GGAAUAUUGGGCAAUGGAGGAAACUCUGACCCGGCGACGCCGCGUGCGGGAUGAAGGCCUUCGGGUUGUAAACCGCUUUCAGUAGGGAAGAAGCGAAAGUGACGGUACCUACAAAAGAAGCACCGGCUAACUAUGUGCCAGCAGCCGCGGUAAUACAUAGGGUGCAAGCGUUGUCCGGAAUUAUUGGGCGUAAAGAGCUCGUAGGUCGUUUGUUACGUCGGAUGUGAAAACCUGAGGCUCAACCUCAGGCCUGCAUUCGAUACGGGCAAACUAGAGUUUGGUAGGGGAGACUGGAAUUCCUGGUGUAGCGGUGGAAUGCGCAGAUAUCAGGAGGAACACCAAUGGCGAAGGCAGGUCUCUGGGCCAAUACUGACACUGAGGAGCGAAAGUCUGGGGAGCGAACAGGAUUAGAUACCCUGGUAGUCCAGACCGUAAACGGUGGGCACUAGUUGUGGGAACCUUCCACGGUUUCUGCGACGCAGCUAACGCAUUAAGUGCCCCGCCUGGGGAGUACGAUCGCAAGAUUAAAACUCAAAGGAAUUGACGG
rnacentral:rRNA from 1 species